UACGUAGGGUGCAAGCGUUGUCCGGAAUUAUUGGGCGUAAAGAGCUCGUAGGCGGUCUGUCGCGUCUGCUGUGAAAACUCGGGGCUUAACCCCAGUCCUGCUUCCGAUACGGGUGGACUAGAGGUAGGCAGGGGAGAACGGAAUUCCUGGUGUAGCGGUGAAAUGCGCAGAUAUCAGGAGGAACACCAGUGGCGAAGGCGGCUUUCUGGACGGUAACUGACGCUGAGACGCGAAAGCGUGGGGAGCAAACAGG
rnacentral:rRNA from 1 species